ACGAAGCCAAGCCUGAGUGGAGUGAGAUCCUUCAACAAUUUUCAUUUUCAUUUCGUCGUGUUCUAGUUUUUCUCUCUGUGUUUCACUUAUGCCUCUCACCGAAGCUUGCUCCACCGUCUCGGCACCGACAGAGCUGAGCUAAAACAGCCAAUAGUACCACCAUUCAAAAACUUGUGUCCUCCUCUUUCUCAAUCUAGCGUUAAUCUCAUCCAAAAUUCAAGCCAUUCUCAAAAUCUAACCAAAUCAGUCAAGAACCCUAAAUGCUAAGAAGUGAAACUAAACGAAGAAUGAGGGGAAUCAAGCCACUUCACCUUGGGGAUUUGAUUCCCAUCAAUGGAAGCUACAUUAUGGUGAAGAGAUCGAAGCAAAUAGAGGUAGAGAAGGACGAUAUAACAGCGAGACAGUGAUUCGUCUCGAAGAUUGUUGAAGCAAAGAAGAGGAAGAUGAAGCAAGAACACUAGAGACUCUUCAAUGUGGUAAGAAACUUGAAUCUCAAACUCUCAUAUGUCAUAGAUUCUUCUUCUUCUCUUUCCAAUGCCUAGUCUGUAGGGUGUAUUUCCUUGUGGUUGUUAUUGCUUUGUGCAUGUGAGUGUGAGGAAAUAUGAGUAGAGCUCAGAGAGAAUUCACAGAGAGUAGAGUGAUUGAAAGAAAAUUAGAGAGAAUUGAGAAAGUGUGUUCUGCAGAUUUUUGUGGAAUAUGAGUGAUGAUGAUGAUUGAAGGAGAUUGAGGAUUAUAUAGAGUUAGAUUACAACUAAAUCAGGUAGAUAUUGGGUAAGAUAGUUGAUCAGUCACCAUUUGUGUUAGUUUUAUUGUCAUUUGAAUGCCUAAAACAGGUGAAUUGAUGUGAGGUUGAGCAGUAGUUUAAGCUUAUUUUGGUAGAUUUUAUCAUGUCUUAAUUUCUGCGGUUUUUAUUGAUUAUGAGCUAGUUGAUGCGCUUGAGUUAAUGUUUCAUGUGUUUACAUGUAUGGAGAUUCAAGAGGAAAUCGAUAAGGGAAGAAACCAGACAAAGAUACAUGAGCAGGAGAGAAAAAGAAGAUUUUGCAAAUCUCUUGUCCAUACGCGUAUGAGGGGUCUCAUAUGUGUAUAGCCACUCAGCCAUGCCUUCCAGGAUACGUGUACCACCAGUAAGGAUGUAAAAAUCAAGCUUCUGCCCAUACUCGUAUGGGAGGGCCCAUGCGCGUAUGAGGCCAGCCAACCAGGCCCCCUUCUGCGCAGCCAGAGCCUUACGUGUAUGGCUCCAGCUACGGCAUACGCCCUACCCUGGGCCAUACGCGUAUGAGACAAUGAAAAAAUAGGUCAUAUGCGUAUAGGUGGAGGCCAUACACGUAUGGCACGACAUAGAUCUUACAAAGCCCAAAUUUUGUCUAUUUAGCCGAAAAAUGCGAAUUUCCAAGGGUUGGAUGAUUUUUUAGUACAGAGAAAGCGUUUUGAAGGUUGGAGCACUGAAGAAUUCGUGGUGGAUCAAGGAUUUCAUGAAAUUUUAUGCUUGAAGACCUCUUUUCUUCCAUUAAUUUGUAAUGUUUAUACUUUCUGUCUUGUUUUUCUUUAUUGUUAUGAGUUGUUAAACCCCCCAAUGAUAUGGGGUGUCCCUGAUUCGGAUUUAUGAUACAGUUCUAAAUUUCAACCUUCUAAUGACUUUGAUUUUGUGAUAUUUGAUUUAUUUACAAUUUGUGCUUAAUGUUUUCUCUUUCAUAAAAAUUGAGACUGAUAUGUGGUUAAUAUUUAGGCUGGACCGCCAUUGUUAACGCUUAA
rnacentral:lncRNA from 1 species